UUUUACCCUUAUACUGACCUUCCCUUCGCUGAUGAAAGACUGAGAAAGGCAUUCGUUCAUCGCCGGCAAGAAAUGUCUACCUUGGUGGAGGUCCCAAUCACAUACGAUUGAUUAACAUGGCAUAGAGGAACACCAUUGACCUAGAAUGGUCUAGUAACAAGAAGCAAUCCAGACGGAAGUUGCUUAAGGAAAACAACUCUUUUCCCCUUAAGCCUCCCAGCAAGGAUAAUCAAAAUCGUUCCAAGAGUAAUACUCGACCUGAGCUUAGUGGGCUUUGGCUUGCGCUUGUUUACAAGUUGCUUCUUGACAUCAUCGGCGGGAUAGAACUUGGGAGGCUUUUCUUCAGGUUUUGGUGCCGCCAGCUUGGCGUCAUGUCGGGGGAAGACACCGUUGUUCUUGGCCUUGAUGGCCCAGAGACCACGCUUGUAGUACAUCUUCGAUCGCGAGUGCUUGCCCACACACCACGUAUCAGAUCUGGGUUUCUGGUCACCCUAGGUUUCCUGUCCUGCGGCGCCAUUGCUGAAGCUUGGGAGUUGGGAGUCCCUUUCUGAAUAAGUUCCUCAAACCCUUAGACGUCCCACAGAAACACAAUCUUGCAUCGCAGGUCGCGUUUGGUUGAGGAAUGUGGAUGUUAUGACUCUCAAGCGACGUCUUUAGCGAAUUCACACGUCUGUUCCGGGAGGUCGCCUCGAGGUCCUGUCAGUUGUCGUCCGUCAAUGCCACUGCUGCUGCAAUGAUCGUCGGUGGUCCAAAAAUUUUUUAUUUGGAUAAAAAAAAAUAUUAACUUAUUACAAGGGUAUUUUAGGUAUUUUGUAUUUAAUCAAGGCAUUUUGAUAUUUAAAAUAAAAUAUAAUUGCUGA